UUUUUUUUUUUUUAAGGUGCUAUUUAUUUGAGAGAAAGCAAGCAUAGAGGGAAAGGGAGAAGCAGACUCCCUGCUAAGAAGAGAGCUUGAGGUGGGACUUGAGCCCAGGACCCUGGGAUCACAACCUGAGCUGUACAGGCAGAUGCUUAACUGAAUGAACCACAAGGAGAGUCUUAAUUGUAGGACUGAGAGGGGGAACCAUAGGCAAGAGAUGGCCAAUUGGGCAAGGCCACGAGAUAAGACAAUUGAGAGUGAGGCAUCGGAGUCAUAGGCAGGUGAGGCCAGCCGCUCACCCGUGUGGGACAGAGGAGAAGGGGCAGGCAAUGAGUGCAAUCUCAGACCUAGGGAGCCAGCCACAGAAAGGGGUCUAUCUACUACACGGUUGGGGAGCAGGGUCUAGAAGAUGAGGCCAAUCUGGCUAAAGACCCAGGGAAGGAAGAUUCCAGGUAUAACUGCACAUUGAAACCAGGGAAAAGAUAAAAUUACUCCAGGGGAUCCUGCAGUGUGAAAACAGAUAAAGGUGGAAGAGAUGGGUUCUUUGGAACCCUGAUAUUCUAGAAAAGAAUGGAUAAAAAUGAGUGUGUGAAGGAACGAAGGGAAAAACUGCUCAUCAUGGCGACGUUGCCAUUUUGGAAUUACAAAAGGCAAGGAAGAAGCUUCCAUAAAAAGACAUGGGCACAAUGCCCAGUAGUAUGAAGCAUAAUUAGUUUUUAUCCAGUGCAUAAAGAUAUUUGGUGCAUUCUCAGUCAUGCAUUGUUCCUGUGGACGUAGUAUUUCUCUCAGAGCUGCCUUCUCAAAGAGCAAGUGAACAUUGCUGACAAAGAGGAAAAGAGAAAAAUAAUGGUUCAUUUCCAAAGCAUCAGCAGGGACUCGGUGAAUGUGUUUUAAUUGAAAAACCAAAGUUAGAAGAGAGGGAUAGCUCUGGUAAGUAUAAUAAAAUAGAGACAAACAAGAAUCGCUGCUUUCCUCUUUCAAUUUAGUCCAUUUCUAUUACGGAUCCACAGACAUUUUAACUUGCAUAAUCUCCAAGCGCUAUCAAGGAUUCAAUAUCAUUUGCCUUAGUUAAAAGUCAGGACAAAACACAAACAGCAAAAUCUAACAUUGCCAGCUUGCUUUUUCUAUUUUAAACUCCAUUUGUACUCUAGCAGGUGAGUGGAAGACUAUUUUUAUACUUUCUUUAAGGAACAAAAGAGCCCAUAUUUGGGUCCCAAGUGGUAAGUCUAAGUGUCAACAUCACCUGAAGGAUAAUGUUCUGACACUGAGCAUACAUGCUGUGUGUCUUUACCCACAAGGGAUAUUUGAGUUAAAAGCCCAAGAGUUCAGCGGGGCCGGACUACCCAGGCAACUGCAAAGACUUUGUUCUUUCCAAGAACCCUGUGCACAGCUGCCAAAGGGCUGACGCCACUGGAAGGAGCAGCCCAGCAGCUCUGUCACACAGCAGAUGGGGGAGGGCUGGCGCCACCAGUGGCUAACUGCCCCCAGGGCCUGCUGUCACUGCUCAUGGCUCACAGGCUCCACUUCUCCUGGCCCAUCAGCCAUCUCGGCUGUGGGGAUAUAAAGACAGGGAGAUGGUCUGCCAGCCAACUGGCCCAUCGACACCAUGGACAUGGAACAGAGCUGGGUUCAGUUCCAAGUGCAGGCAGAUCACUGAAGGCAGAGACCCGGAGUAUCCUGCCCCGGGAGGGGCCGGAGAGCCUGCACCAAAGUUCACUGGAGGGAAUUUGGGCUCAUGGUUAUUCCUUCUCCUUUGCAGUAUUACCAAAAUUAGCUUCUAUUCAAAUUUGUUAACUUUUCUUUUUUUAAUUGUUCAUGUAUUUAUUCAUGAGAGACACAGAGAGACAGAGGCACGAGACGUAGGCAGAGGGAGAAGCAGGCUUCCUGCAGGGAGCCCGAUGCGGGACUCGAUCCCAGGACCCUGGACCUGAUCAGGACCUGAGCCAAAGGGAGAUGCUCAAGCCCUGAGCCACCCGGGGAUCCCUAACUGUUUUUUUUUUUUUUUUUUAAUGAAGACAUUUUUUGCAGCAGUUUUAGGUUCAUAGUAAAAUUGAGGGGAAGGCACAGAGAUUUCCCCCACAAUGCAUAGGCUCCCCCAUUAUCGACGUUCCCCAAUAGAGUGGUACAUCCUUGCAGCUGAUGACUCUGCGCUGACACACCAUCAUCACCCAGAGUCCACAGUGUACAUUAAGGUUCACUAUCGGUGUUGCACAUCCUGUGGGUUUGGACAAAGGUAUAAUGACCAAUAUCCACAAUUAUGGUAUCACACAUUGUCAUUU
rnacentral:lncRNA from 1 species